GACGAACGCUGGCGGCGUGCUUAACACAUGCAAGUCGAACGGAAAGGCCCUGCUUUUGUGGGGUGCUCGAGUGGCGAACGGGUGAGUAACACGUGAGUAACCUGCCCUUGACUUUGGGAUAACUUCAGGAAACUGGGGCUAAUACCGGAUAGGAGCUCCUGCUGCAUGGUGGGGGUUGGAAAGUUUCGGCGGUUGGGGAUGGACUCGCGGCUUAUCAGCUUGUUGGUGGGGUAGUGGCUUACCAAGGCUUUGACGGGUAGCCGGCCUGAGAGGGUGACCGGCCACAUUGGGACUGAGAUACGGCCAAGACUCCUACGGGAGGCAGCAGUGGGGAAUAUUGCACAAUGGGCGGAAGCCUGAUGCAGCAACGCCGCGUGCGGGAUGACGGCCUUCGGGUUGUAAACCGCUUUCGCCUGUGACGAAGCGUGAGUGACGGUAAUGGGUAAGAAGCACCGGCUAACUACGU
rnacentral:rRNA from 1 species